AUACGUAGGUGACAAGCGUUAUCCGGAUUUACUGGGCGUAAAGGGCGUGUAGGCGGUCUUGCAAGUCAGAAGUGAAAUUCCUGAGCUCAACUCGGGCGCUGCUUCUGAAACUGCAGGACUUGAGUGCUGGAGGGGAUAGCGGAAUUCCUAGUGGAGCGGUAAAAUGCGCAGAUAUUAGGAAGAACACCGGUGGCGAAGGCGGCUAUCUGGAAAGUAACUGACGCUGAGGCGCGAAAGCGUGGGGAGCAAACAGGAUUAGAUUCCCUGGUAGUCCACGCCGUAAACGAUGAAUACUAGGUGUAGGGGGUAUCGACUCCCUCUGUGCCGCAGUUAACACAAUAAGUAUUCCGCCUGGGGAGUACGGCCGCAAGGUUGAAACUCAAAUGAAUUGGCGGGG
rnacentral:rRNA from 1 species